AGUUAAAUGUUCUUAGUGAACAUAGCGAACUGCUCAGUAACACGUGGAUAACCUACCCUUAGGACCGGAAUAACCCCGGGAAACUGGGGAUAAUACCGGAUAAGCCAUAGACGCUGGAAUGCCCUAUGGUUCAAAGCUCCGGCGCCUAAGGAUGGAUCUGCGGUCUAUCAGGUUGUAGUGGGUGUAACGUACCUACUAGCCGACGACGGAUACGGGUUGUGAGAGCAAGAGCCCGGAGAUGGAUUCUGAGACACGAAUCCAGGCCCUACGGGGUGCAGCAGGCGCGAACACUUUACAAUGCGGGAAACCGCGAUAAGGGAACCCCGAGUGCCAGCAUCAAAUGUUGGCUGUCCAGAUGAUUAAAAAUCAUUUGUUAGCAAGGGCCGGGCAAGACCGGUGCCAGCCGCCGCGGUAACACCGGCGGCCCGAGUGGUAGCCGUUUUUAUUGGGUCUAAAGGGUCCGUAGCCGGCCUGAUAAGUCCUUUGGGAAAUCUGGCAGCUUAACUGUCAGGCUUCUAAGGGAUACUGUCAGGCUUGGGACCGGAAGAGGUAAGGGGUACUCCAGGGGUAGGAGUGAAAUCUUGUAAUCCCUGGGGGACCAUCUGUGGCGAAGGCGCCUUACCAGAACGGGUCCGACGGUGAGGGACGAAAGCUAGGGGAGCAAACCGGAUUAGAUACCCGGGUAGUCCUAGCUGUAAACGAUGCUCGCUAGGUGUCAGACACGGUGCGACCGUGUUUGGUGCCGCAGGGAAGCCGUUAAGCGAGCCACCUGGGAAGUACGGUCGCAAGGCUGAAACUUAAAGGAAUUGGCGGGGGAGCACUACAACGGGUGGAGCCUGC
rnacentral:rRNA from 1 species